GAUUGAUGGUAGGAGGAUGGUGAGGGUAGAGGGGUGUCCUUAAUGUUUUCUAUCCAGUCUGAUUGAUGGUAGGAUGAUGGUGAGGGUAGAGGGGUGUCCUUAAUGUUUUCUAUACAGUCUGAUUGAUGGUAGGAUGAUGGUGAGGGUAGAGGGGUGUCCUUAAUGUUUUCUAUACAGUCUGAUUGAUGGUAGGAUGAUGGUGAGGGUAGAGGGGUGUCCUUAAUGUUUUCUAUCCAGUCUGAUUGAUGGUAGGAUGAUGGUGAGGGUAGAGGGGUGUCCUUAAUGUUUUCUAUCCAGUCUGAUGGUAGAAUGAUGGUGAGGGUAGAGGGGUGUCCUUAAUGUUUUCUAUGCAGUCUGAUUGAUGGUAGGAUGAUGGUGAGGGUAGAGGGGUGUCCUUAAUGUUUUCUAUGCAGUCUGAUUGAUGGUAGGAUGAUGGUGAGGGUAGAGGGGUGUCCUUAAUGUUUUCUAUCCAGUCUGAUUGAUGGUAGGAUGAUGGUGAGGGUAGAGGGGUGUCCUUAAUGUUUUCUAUCCAGUCUGAUUGAUGGUAGGAUGAUGGUGAGGGUAGAGGGGUGUCCUUAAUGUUUUCUAUACAGUCUGAUUACACCUGGUGAUGACUUCUCCAUGUCUGAAACACCUCCCCUGGGUAACAUACAGACCGUAAGUGCUUUUUCUGAACUAGCAAAUAGUCAAGGACGGCUAGCGAGCAGGGACAAACAUUUCCACCCUGUUGAUGAGUAACGGUGAGAAAGUUGGAAAACA